rnacentral:rRNA from 1 species
UACGUAGGGCGCAAGCGUUGUCCGGAAUUAUUGGGCGUAAAGAGCUCGUAGGCGGCCAGUUGCGUCUGCUGUGAAAUCCCGGGGCUCAACCCCGGGCGUGCAGUGGAUACGGGCUGGCUAGAGGCAGGCAGGGGAGAACGGAAUUCCCGGUGUAGCGGUGAAAUGCGCAGAUAUCGGGAAGAACACCCGUGGCGAAGGCGGCACUCUGGGACGGUACUGACGCUGAGACGCGAAAGCGUGGGGAGCGAACAGG